AACUCGCCUACAUGAAGCUGGAAUUGCUAGUAAUCACAGGUCAGCAUACUGUGGUGAAUACGUUCCCGGGCCUUGUACACACCGCCCGUCACACCAUGAGAGUUGAGAGUACCCGAAGCCCAUGUCAAAGUGGUCGAAGGUAGGCUUGAUGAUUGGGGUGAAGUCGUAACAAGGUACC
rnacentral:rRNA from 1 species